rnacentral:rRNA from 1 species
AACGAACGCUGGCGGCGUGCUUAACACAUGCAAGUCGAACGAUGAAGCCGGAGCUUGCUCUGGUGAAUUAGUGGCGAACGGGUGAGUAACACGUGAGUAACCUGCCCUUGACUCUGGGAUAACUGCGGGAAACUGUAGCUAAUACCGGAUAUGACCCUCGGAGGCAUCUCCUGGGGGUGGAAAGAAUUUCGGUCAAGGAUGGACUCGCGGCCUAUCAGCUAGUUGGUGAGGUAAAGGCUCACCAAGGCGACGACGGGUAGCCGGCCUGAGAGGGUGACCGGCAACACUGGGACUGAGACACGGCCCAGACUCCUACGGGAGGCAGCAGUGGGGAAUAUUGCACAAUGGGCGCAAGCCUGAUGCAGCAACGCCGCGUGAGGGAUGACGGCCUUCGGGUUGUAAACCUCUUUUAGCAGGGAAGAAGCGAGAGUGACGGUACCUGCAGAAAAAGCACCGGCUAACUACGUGCCAGCCGCCGCCGUAA